UACAGAGGGUGCAAGCGUUAAUCGGAAUUACUGGGCGUAAAGCGUGCGUAGACGGUUACAUAAGUCAGGUGUGAAAGCCCCGGGCUCAACCUGGGAAUUGCAUUUGAGACUGUGUAGCUAGGGUGCGGAAGAGGGAAGCGGAAUUUCCGGUGUGAGCGGUGAAAGUGCGUAGAUAUCGGAAGGAACACCAGUGGCGAAAGCGGCUUCCUGGUCCAGCACCGACGUUCAGGCACGAAAGCGUGGGGAGCAAACAGG
rnacentral:rRNA from 1 species